UACGAAGGGGGCUAGCGUUGUUCGGAAUCACUGGGCGUAAAGCGCACGUAGGCAGAUCUUUAAGUCAGGGGUGAAAUCCCGAGGCUCAACCUCGGAACUGCCUUUGAUACUGGGGAUCUCGAGUCCGGGAGAGGUGAGUGGAACUGCGAGUGUAGAGGUGAAAUUCGUAGAUAUUCGCAAGAACACCAGUGGCGAAGGCGGCUCACUGGCCCGGAACUGACGCUGAGGUGCGAAAGCGUGGGGAGCAAACAGG
rnacentral:rRNA from 1 species